rnacentral:rRNA from 1 species
AGGACUAACGCUGGCGGCGUGCCUAACACAUGCAAGUCGAACGAGGGGUAGCAAUACCCCUAGUGGCAGACGGGUGAGUAACACGUAGUCAACCUACCUCUUAAUGGGGGAUAACUAGCCGAAAGGUUAGCUAAUACCGCAUACGAUCGUCGAGUGGCAUCACACGACGAUGAAAGGAGCAAUCCGUUGAGAGAGGGGACUGCGUCCCAUUAGUUAGUUGGUGGGGUAAUGGCCUACCAAGACUCCGAUGGGUAGCUGGCUUGAGAGAGCGACCAGCCACACUGGAACUGAGACACGGUCCAGACUCCUACGGGAGGCAGCAGUGAGGAAUUUUCCGCAAUGGGGGAAACCCUGACGGAGCGACGCCGCGUGUGGGAAGAAGGCCUUCGGGUCGUAAACCACUGUCGAGGGGGACGAUAUUGACGGUACCCCUGGAGGAAGCCCCGGCUAACUACGUGUCAGCAGCCGC